rnacentral:rRNA from 1 species
GGGUUGUGAGGUUAAGCGACUAAGCGUACACGGUGGAUGCCCUGGCAGUCAGAGGCGAUGAAGGACGUGCUAAUCUGCGAUAAGCGUCGGUAAGGUGAUAUGAACCGUUAUAACCGGCGAUUUCCGAAUGGGGAAACCCAGUGUGAUUCGUCACACUAUCAUUAACUGAAUCCAUAGGUUAAUGAGGCGAACCGGGGGAACUGAAACAUCUAAGUACCCCGAGGAAAAGAAAUCAACCGAGAUUCCCCCAGUAGCGGCGAGCGAACGGGGAGCAGCCCAGAGCCUGAAUCAGUGUGUGUGUUAGUGGAAGCGUCUGGAAAGGCGCGCGAUACAGGGUGACAGCCCCGUACACAAAAAUGCACAUACUGUGAGCUCGAUGAGUAGGGCGGGACACGUGGUAUCCUGUCUGAAUAUGGGGGGACCAUCCUCCAAGGCUAAAUACUCCUGACUGACCGAUAGUGAACCAGUACCGUGAGGGAAAGGCGAAAAGAACCCCGGCGAGGGGAGUGAAAAAGAACCUGAAACCGUGUACGUACAAGCAGUGGGAGCACAGAGCAAUCUGUGUGACUGCGUACCUUUUGUAUAAUGGGUCAGCGACUUAUAUUCUGUAGCAAGGUUAACCGAAUAGGGGAGCCGAAGGGAAACCGAGUCUUAACUGGGCGUUAAGUUGCAGGGUAUAGACCCGAAACCCGGUGAUCUAGCCAUGGGCAGGUUGAAGGUUGGGUAACACUAACUGGAGGACCGAACCGACUAAUGUUGAAAAAUUAGCGGAUGACUUGUGGCUGGGGGUGAAAGGCCAAUCAAACCGGGAGAUAGCUGGUUCUCCCCGAAAGCUAUUUAGGUAGCGCCUCGUGAAUUCAUCUCCGGGGGUAGAGCACUGUUUCGGCAAGGGGGUCAUCCCGACUUACCAACCCGAUGCAAACUGCGAAUACCGGAGAAUGUUAUCACGGGAGACACACGGCGGGUGCUAACGUCCGUCGUGAAGAGGGAAACAACCCAGACCGCCAGCUAAGGUCCCAAAGUCAUGGUUAAGUGGGAAACGAUGUGGGAAGGCCCAGACAGCCAGGAUGUUGGCUUAGAAGCAGCCAUCAUUUAAAGAAAGCGUAAUAGCUCACUGGUCGAGUCGGCCUGCGCGGAAGAUGUAACGGGGCUAAACCAUGCACCGAAGCUGCGGCAGCGACGCUUAUGCGUUGUUGGGUAGGGGAGCGUUCUGUAAGCCUGCGAAGGUGUGCUGUGAGGCAUGCUGGAGGUAUCAGAAGUGCGAAUGCUGACAUAAGUAACGAUAAAGCGGGUGAAAAGCCCGCUCGCCGGAAGACCAAGGGUUCCUGUCCAACGUUAAUCGGGGCAGGGUGAGUCGACCCCUAAGGCGAGGCCGAAAGGCGUAGUCGAUGGGAAACAGGUUAAUAUUCCUGUACUUGGUGUUACUGCGAAGGGGGGACGGAGAAGGCUAUGUUGGCCGGGCGACGGUUGUCCCGGUUUAAGCGUGUAGGCUGGUUUUCCAGGCAAAUCCGGAAAAUCAAGGCUGAGGCGUGAUGACGAGGCACUACGGUGCUGAAGCAACAAAUGCCCUGCUUCCAGGAAAAGCCUCUAAGCAUCAGGUAACAUCAAAUCGUACCCCAAACCGACACAGGUGGUCAGGUAGAGAAUACCAAGGCGCUUGAGAGAACUCGGGUGAAGGAACUAGGCAAAAUGGUGCCGUAACUUCGGGAGAAGGCACGCUGAUAUGUAGGUGAAGUCCCUCGCGGAUGGAGCUGAAAUCAGUCGAAGAUACCAGCUGGCUGCAACUGUUUAUUAAAAACACAGCACUGUGCAAACACGAAAGUGGACGUAUACGGUGUGACGCCUGCCCGGUGCCGGAAGGUUAAUUGAUGGGGUCAGCGCAAGCGAAGCUCUUGAUCGAAGCCCCGGUAAACGGCGGCCGUAACUAUAACGGUCCUAAGGUAGCGAAAUUCCUUGUCGGGUAAGUUCCGACCUGCACGAAUGGCGUAAUGAUGGCCAGGCUGUCUCCACCCGAGACUCAGUGAAAUUGAACUCGCUGUGAAGAUGCAGUGUACCCGCGGCAAGACGGAAAGACCCCGUGAACCUUUACUAUAGCUUGACACUGAACAUUGAGCCUUGAUGUGUAGGAUAGGUGGGAGGCUUUGAAGUGUGGACGCCAGUCUGCAUGGAGCCGACCUUGAAAUACCACCCUUUAAUGUUUGAUGUUCUAACGUUGACCCGUAAUCCGGGUUGCGGACAGUGUCUGGUGGGUAGUUUGACUGGGGCGGUCUCCUCCUAAAGAGUAACGGAGGAGCACGAAGGUUGGCUAAUCCUGGUCGGACAUCAGGAGGUUAGUGCAAUGGCAUAAGCCAGCUUGACUGCGAGCGUGACGGCGCGAGCAGGUGCGAAAGCAGGUCAUAGUGAUCCGGUGGUUCUGAAUGGAAGGGCCAUCGCUCAACGGAUAAAAGGUACUCCGGGGAUAACAGGCUGAUACCGCCCAAGAGUUCAUAUCGACGGCGGUGUUUGGCACCUCGAUGUCGGCUCAUCACAUCCUGGGGCUGAAGUAGGUCCCAAGGGUAUGGCUGUUCGCCAUUUAAAGUGGUACGCGAGCUGGGUUUAGAACGUCGUGAGACAGUUCGGUCCCUAUCUGCCGUGGGCGCUGGAGAACUGAGGGGGGCUGCUCCUAGUACGAGAGGACCGGAGUGGACGCAUCACUGGUGUUCGGGUUGUCAUGCCAAUGGCACUGCCCGGUAGCUAAAUGCGGAAGAGAUAAGUGCUGAAAGCAUCUAAGCACGAAACUUGCCCCGAGAUGAGUUCUCCCUGACUCCUUGAGAGUCCUGAAGGAACGUUGAAGACGACGACGUUGAUAGGCCGGAUGUGUAAGCGCAGCGAUGCGUUGAGCUAACCGGUACUAAUGAACCGUGAGGCUUAACCUUACAACGCCGAAGGUGUUU